rnacentral:rRNA from 1 species
UCGGGAAUUUUGGGCAAUGGGCGAAAGCCUGACCCAGCAACGCCGCGUGAAGGAUGAAGUAUUUCGGUAUGUAAACUUCGUAAGAAUAGGAAGAAUAAAUGACGGUACUAUUUGUAAGGUCCGGCUAACUACGUGCCAGCAGCCGCGGUAAUACGUAGGGACCAAGCGUUGUUCGGAUUUACUGGGCGUAAAGGGCGCGUAGGCGGUGUGUCAAGUCAGUUGUGAAAUCUCCGAGCUUAACUCGGAACGGUCAACUGAUACUGUCACACUAGAGUACAGAAGGGGCAAUCGGAAUUCUUGGUGUAGCGGUGAAAUGCGUAGAUAUCGGAAGGAACACCAGUGGCGAAGGCGGCUUCCUGGUCCAACACUGACGCUGAGGCGCGAAAGCGUGGGGAGCAAACAGGAUUAGAUACCCUUGUAGUCCCUGAGCGGGCUGGCAAGGCGCAU